ACGGGUCAGCAUCAGUUUCGACCGUCGGAAAAUGGCUCGGGGAAUGUGGCACUCUUUCGGGAGUGUGUUAUAGACUCGAGUCGAAUGCGAUGGUUGGGACUGAGGAACUCAGCACGACCUUAGGGUUCGGGACUUCGGUCCACGUUUGCGUGCUUAGGAUGCUGGCAUAAUGGCCUUAAGCGACCCGUCUUGAAACACGGGCCAAGGAGUCUAACAUGCAUGCGAGUGUUUGGGCGAUGAAAACCCGAGCGCGUAAUGAAAGUGAAAGUCGAGACCUCUGUCGUGGAGGGCACCGACGCCCGGACCGGAGCUUUUGCUAUGGAUCUGCGGUAGAGCAUGUAUGUUGGGACCCGAAAGAUGGUGAACUAUGCCUGAAUAGGGUGAAGCCAGAGGAAACUCUGGUGGAGGCACGUAGCGAUUCUGACGUGCAAAUCGAUCGUCGAAUUUGGGUAUAGGGGCGAAA
rnacentral:rRNA from 1 species